CAACCAAUGACCCUUCAACAGAACGACAAGCUUUAUGGCUCAUCAUUGUGUUUGUGGGAGUUGCAGCACUCUUAAUAACUAUUGUUAUUGUUGUUGGACUCAUCAUAUGGAAGAAAACUAAAGG